UGUAAGGUAUAUUUUGUUAGUAUAUAUUAAUUAUGAAAUCAAAAAGUUUUGGCGGUAUUUUAAGCUUUUUAGAGGAAUUUGCUCUGUAAUGGAUAAAACCCCUAAAUCUUACUUAAUUUUGUGAAGUCAGUUUGUAUACCCCUAUAAUUAAUAAUAUUGAAUAAUUAAUUAUUAUAAUUUUAUUCAAGAAAGAAAAUUAAGUCAAGGUGCAACAAAAAAUUAUGAGUGAAGUGAAUUACAUUAAUUUUUAUUAUAUAAUUAAUUGAAAUAUUUUAAUUAGGAUUUAAAAGUAAAAGGGAGAAUAUAAUGCUUUUUUGAAAAAAG
rnacentral:rRNA from 1 species